rnacentral:rRNA from 1 species
GNAUUUAUUGGGCGUAAAGCGAGCGCAGGCGGUUAGAUAANUCUGAAGUUAAAGGCUGUGGCUUAACCAUAGUAUGCUUUGGAAACUGUUUAACUUGAGUGCAGAAGGGGAGAGUGGAAUUCCAUGUGUAGCGGUGAAAUGCGUAGAUAUAUGGAGGAACACCGGUGGCGAAAGCGGCUCUCUGGUCUGUAACUGACGCUGAGGCUCGAAAGCGUGGGGAGCAAACAGGAUUAGAUACCCUGGUAGUCCACGCCGUAAACGAUGAGUGCUAGGUGUUAGGCCCUUUCCGGGGCUUAGUGCCGCAGCUAACGCAUUAAGCACUCCGCCUGGGGAGUACGACCGCAAGGUUGAAACUCAAAGGAAUUGACGGGGGCCCGCACAAGCGGUGGAGCAUGUGGUUUAAUUCGGAGCAACGCGAAGAACCUUACCAGGUCUUGACAUCCCUCUGACCGCUCUAGAGAUAGAGUUUUCCUUCGGGACAGAGGUGACAGGUGGUGCAUGGUUGUCGUCAGCUCGUGUCGUGAGAUGUUGGGUUAAGUCCCGCAACGAGCGCAACCCCUAUUGUUAGUUGCCAUCAUUGAGUUGGGCACUCUAGCGAGACUGCCGGUAAUAAACCGGAGGAAGGUGGGGAUGACGUCAAUCAUCAUGCCCCUUAUGACCUGGGCUACACACGUGCUACAAUGGCUGGUACAACGAGUCGCAAGCCGGUGACGGCAAGCUAAUCUCUGAAAGCCAGUCUCAGUUCGGAUUGUAGGCUGCAACUCGCCUACAUGAAGUCGGAAUCGCUAGUAAUCGCGGAUCAGCACGCCGCGGUGAAUACGUUCCCGGGCCUUGUACACACCGCCCGUCACACCACGAGAGUUUGUAACACCCGAAGNCGGUGAGGUAACCGUAAGGAGCCAGCCGCCUAAGG